AGAGGAUAAACAAAAAAUAUGUUUAUCGUUCAAAAGAUGACAGAUUCGUUUGA
rnacentral:sRNA from 1 species